UUUGCCUUCACUAAAUAUUUUUUGUUUAUGCAAAAAGUACAACUAGGAAUGUCGUGAAGAACAAGAUAAAGACUGAAAACAGUGUAAUCCUGAUUUUAUAUUGAACCAUAUUUUUGCAUGAUGAUGGCCCAUAGCUGUAAUCAAAAUAUACACGUUUUAACGGAUAUAAAAACCCAUAACUUUUUUAACAUUGUGAUACAAAAAUAGUAUUUACACCUCAUCUGUCCACUAUAAGAAAAAGCACUUUAUAAUCUAAGGCAGAUGUUGUAUAUUGAGGGUUUUUAAUGUUGUGCAAGGAUGCAUAAUCAGGUUUUAUCCAGCCACUGUAAAGAAUCAACAAUAUACUUUUUUUUCUAUAUCCAAGGAGCAUCUGGAAAUCGCUGGGAAUACAAUACAAUAAACAAAGAAGAUUUGAUUUUUUGUAUAUUAUCUGGUCCGAGUGCCAAAUUUAGGCCAUCAUCGGGCCUUUAUAAAAAAUUGUGAAUGCUAAUGCAACUGAAUGUCCAAACUGAAUGGACUCCUCGGAGUGAACCAAGACAUAUUAAAAAAGGCACUUGUCAGAUU